rnacentral:rRNA from 1 species
UUCGGGUUGUAAACCUCUUUCAGCAGGGAAGAAGCGCAAGUGACGGUACCUGCAGAAGAAGCGCCGGCUAACUACGUGCCAGCAGCCGCGGUAAUACGUAGGGCGCAAGCGUUGUCCGGAAUUAUUGGGCGUAAAGAGCUCGUAGGCGGUUUGUCGCGUCUGCUGUGAAAACCUGAGGCUCAACCUCGGGCUGGCAGUGGGUACGGGCAGACUAGAGUGCGGUAGGGGUGACUGGAAUUCCUGGUGUAGCGGUGGAAUGCGCAGAUAUCAGGAGGAACACCGAUGGCGAAGGCAGGUCACUGGGCCGCAACUGACGCUGAGGAGCGAAAGCAUGGGGAGCGAACAGGAUUAGAUACCCUGGUAGUCCAUGCCGUAAACGUUGGGCACUAGGUGUGGGGCUCAUUCCACGAGUUCCGUGCCGCAGCAAACGCAUUAAGUGCCCCGCCUGGGGAGUACGGCCGCAAGGCUAAAACUCAAAGAAAUUGACGGGGGCCCGCACAAGCGGCGGAGCAUGCGGAUUAAUUCGAUGCAACGCGAAGAACCUUACCAAGGCUUGACAUACACCGGAAAAGUGCAGAGAUGUGCUCCCCGCAAGGUCGGUGUACAGGUGGUGCAUGGUUGUCGUCAGCUCGUGUCGUGAGAUGUUGGGUUAAGUCCCGCAACGAGCGCAACCCUCGUCCCAUGUUGCCAGCGGGUGAU